AAAAGAAACUAACCAGGAUUCCCCUAGUAACGGCGAGUGAAGCGGGACGAGCUCAAAUUUGUAAUCUGGCUGCUUUGCAGUCCGAGUUGUAAUCUCGAGAAGUUUUUUCCGCGCUGGAAGGCAUACAAGUCUGUUGGAAUACAGCGUCAUAGUGGUGAGAACCCCGUAGAUGAUGUCUCUCCCAGCGCUCUGUGAUAAACUUUCGAAGAGUCGAGUUGUUUGGGAAUGCAGCUCAAAUUGGGUGGUAAAUUCCAUCUAAAGCUAAAUAUUGGCGAGAGACCGAUAGCGAACAAGUACCGUGAGGGAAAGAUGAAAAGCACUUUGGAAAGAGAGUUAACAGUACGUGAAAUUGUUGGAAGGGAAACGCUUGAAGUCGGACUUGGCAGUUGGUGUUCAGCCUUUGGGUGUACUCAUCGACGACCAGGCCAGCAUCAAUUUUUGGGCGCUAAAAAGGGCGAGUUGAAGGUGGCAGCUCCUGCUGUGUUAUAGCUUCUCGCUGGAUUGGCGCCCGGGGAUUGAGGAACGCGGCGUGCUUAUUGCACUCUCCUCGGAGAGAU
rnacentral:rRNA from 1 species